GACGAACGCUGGCGGCGUGCCUAAUACAUGCAAGUCGAGCGCGGGAAGCAGACAGAAGCCUUCGGGCGGACGUCUGUGGAACGAGCGGCGGAUGGGUGAGUAACACGUGGGUAACCUGCCUGUAAGCCUGGGAUAACUCGCGGAAACGCGAGCUAAUACCGGAUGACACGAAAGUUCGCAUGAACUUUUGUUGAAAGGCGGCUUUUAGCUGUCACUUACAGAUGGGCCCGCGGCGCAUUAGCUAGUUGGUGAGGUAACGGCUUACCAAGGCGACGAUGCGUAGCCGACCUGAGAGGGUGAUCGGCCACACUGGGACUGAGACACGGCCCAGACUCCUACGGGAGGCAG
rnacentral:rRNA from 1 species